rnacentral:piRNA from 1 species
UGCCUACAAGUGUGCAGGGGUAAAGAU